UGGGGAAUUUUGGACAAUGGGCGCAAGCCUGAUCCAGCCAUGCCGCGUGCAGGAUGAAGGCCUUCGGGUUGUAAACUGCUUUUGUACGGAACGAAACGGCGAGCUCUAAUAAAGUUUGCUAAUGACGGUACCGUAAGAAUAAGCACCGGCUAACUACGUGCCAGCAGCCGCGGUAAUACGUAGGGUGCGAGCGUUAAUCGGAAUUACUGGGCGUAAAGCGUGCGCAGGCGGUUAUAUAAGACAUAUGUGAAAUCCCCGGGCUCAACCUGGGACCUGCAUUUGUGACUGUAUAGCUAGAGUACGGUAGAGGGGGAUGGAAUUCCGCGUGUAGCAGUGAAAUGCGUAGAUAUGCGGAGGAACACCGAUGGCGAAGGCAAUCCCCUGGACCUGUACUGACGCUCAUGCACGAAAGCGUGGGGAGCAAACAGGAUUAGAUACCCGGGUAGUCCCUGAGCGGGCUGGCAAGGCGCAU
rnacentral:rRNA from 1 species